rnacentral:rRNA from 1 species
AGUGAACGCUGGCGGUAGGCCUAACACAUGCAAGUCGAACGGCAGCACAGUAAGAGCUUGCUCUUACGGGUGGCGAGUGGCGGACGGGUGAGGAAUACAUCGGAAUCUACUUUUUCGUGGGGGAUAACGUAGGGAAACUUACGCUAAUACCGCAUACGACCUACGGGUGAAAGCAGGGGAUCUUCGGACCUUGCGCGAUUGAAUGAGCCGAUGUCGGAUUAGCUAGUUGGCGGGGUAAAGGCCCACCAAGGCGACGAUCCGUAGCUGGUCUGAGAGGAUGAUCCGCCACACUGGAACUGAGACACGGUCCAGACCCCUACGGGAGGCAGCAGUGGGGAAUAUUGGACAAUGGGCGCAAGCAUGAUCCAGCCAUACCGCGUGGGUGAAGAAGGCCUUCGGGUCGUAAAGCCCUUUUGUUGGGAAAGAAAAGCAGCAGGUUAAUACCCCGCUGUUCUGACGGUACCCAAAGAAUAAGCACCAGCUAACUUCGUG